ensembl:processed_transcript
GGGUGCGGAAGGAAUUCUGCAUGUCCUCCAGCAGUUGAGCGUAGUCAGCUUUGAUCUUUGCUUCACCCUCUUUCACUGGAUCCUGCAAAACAUACAUAUGGCUCAUGGGUUUACCAGUAUAGAUGGAGGCUUCUCUGGCAGCCACAGGCAUGUUUGAGGUGUUGGCCACCAGUGCUGUUCUCUUCAUAAUGCUCUCCACCUUUCCGCCCACCUCCAUGGUAAGCUAUUUAACGAAAUUACAAUUAAAUCACAUAAACCUGGGUCAUUUAAAUCUAGCUAAAGGGUCACAUGAACCCCUGCAGUUAUGAAAUUAAUAUCACAUUCAUAAACAUUGAAUUAUCAAAGCGAGCAGGUACACCAAGUGCCACACCAACCUCUGGAAAGUCUCUUAAUACUUCAGACAUCUCAUUUCCACGCUCUCCGCAACCCACAUAAAUGAUGACAUCGCUGUUGGAGUACUUGGAGAGAGACUGAGAGAUCACAGUCUU